rnacentral:rRNA from 1 species
AUUGAACGCUAGCGGCAUGCUUAACACAUGCAAGUCGAACGAGUGGCGGACGGGUGAGUAAUAUAUCGGAACCUGCCCGGUAGUGGGGGAUAACUACUGGAAACAGAGCUAAUACCGCAUACUAUUGGAUCGGCCCAUAUCGGAUUGGCUAGGGGGUGGGGUAAAGGCGCACCAAGUCCACGAUCCCUAGCUGGUCUGGGAGGAGGACCAGCCACACGGGAACUGAGACAAGGCCCAGACGCCUACGUGAGGAAGCAGUGGGGAAUUUUGGACAAUGGGGGAAAGCCUGAUCCAGCAAUGCGGCGUGGAUGAUGAAGGCCUGAGGGUUGUAAGGUACUAUUGUCGGGGAAGCGGUAUCUGCAGAAGAAGCACCGGCUAACUACGUGCCAGCAGCCGCGGUAAUAC